GUUUUGUAGUAAUGAACUCUCUCAGCUUUUGUUUUUCUGGAAAGUCUUAAUUUCUCUAUCACUUUUGAAGGAUAGUUUCUGGAUAGAGAAUUCUCAUUUUAAGUUUUUUGUUUUUUGUUUUUUUUGUUUUUUGUUUUUUGUUUUUUUCCCCAGCGUGUAUUAAAUAUAUCAUCCCACUGCUUUCUGGUCUGCAAGAGUGCUGCUGAGAAACUGGAGAAUAAUCUAUUAAGGAUCAUUUGUCUAUGAUGAGUUGCUUCACUCUUGUUGAUUUCAAGAGUCCCUUUGACUUUGGCUUUUGACAGUUUGAUUAUGUGUCUUGAUGUGAAUCUUUUUUGGUUAUCCUAAAGUACGUUGAGCUUCUUGGAUUUGUAUAUUCAUGUAUUUCAUGAAAUUCAGGAUGUUUUCAGCCGUUAUUUCCUCAAAUAAGUCUCUGCUGCUUUCUUUCUCUUCUGGAAUUCCCAUAAUUUAUAUACAGACAUAUUCUUUUUGCUUGUUUAUUGCACUUCACUUUAUUUUACUUCGCAGAUACUGCACUUUUUAUAAAUCAAAGGUUUGUGGCAACCCUGCAUUGAGCAAGUCUAUUGGCACCAUUUUCCUAAUAGUAUUUACACACCUCGUGUCUCUGUCACAUUUUGAUGAUUCUCACACUUUUGGUAAUUCAAACUUUUUCAUUAUUAUUAUAUUUGUUAUGAUGAUCUGCAAUUAGUAAUCUGUGAUGUUACUAUUUGUGAGUUUUGACGUGCCACACCACACGUGUGUGUUCUGACUACAGAUAAGGUAGAAACAGCAAGAGAACUAGAAUUAGAAGUAGAACCUGAAGAUGUGACUGCAUUGCUGCAAUCUCAUAAUAAAGCUUUAGCAAAUGAGGGGGUGCUUCUCAUGGCCGCUCAAAGAAAAUGGUUUCUUGGGAUGGAAUCUAUUCCUGGUGAGAUGCCGUGAAGACUGUUAAAAUGACAACAAAAGCUUUAGAAUUUUACACCAAUUUAUUUGGCAAAGCAGUGGCAGGACUUGAGGGGAAUGACUCCAAUUUUGAAAAAAGUUCUGAUGUGAGCAAAAUGCUAUUAAACAACAUUGCGUGCUACAGAGAAAUCAUUCAUGAAGAGUCAAUUAAUGGCCAACUUCAUUGUUGCUUGAUUUUUAAGAAGUUUUCACAGCCAUUCUGACCUUCAGCAACCACCACCCUGAUCAGCCAACAGCCAUGAACAUCAAGCUAUUUCCUGGCAUUGAAGAAUUCACGUGGAAAGUCAAGAGUGUCUCAUUUCCUGGAACUAAAACGCAGGCCAGGAAGGCAAAAAGGAAGUGCAAGACACCAUCGCACCUAGAUUCCAGAAAGCUUUCGCUCCGUUUGGAUCAACUUGAGAGGAUGCGCUAAUAAACAGGGUUUCCAGAGAUCCUGGGAAGCAGCCCGGAGACCGGAGCCGGGGCACCUGGCGGGAGCUUCAGCGCGCCUUCCUCCCUGGAACAGCGCUGUCACUUGGCACCGUUGUCCUGGCAAGUCAGCCCCGUUCACAGUCCCUCUGAUUGGUCAGCCCUGUCCUUCCAGAUACGCCUUUCUGACAUCUUGCCUCCACGGUGCUGCCUUGCCGGAGGGGGGGUUCUCACCUGGGCCGUCACAGGGUCCAGCCUUCAAUCAGGAUGGUCCCCAGGUAUUUCCAAAUCACCAGGAGGAACGUGGGCUGUGCUCCAGGCUGAUUCCUCCCACCCUCCCUCCCGUUCUUUCCUCUCUCCCUUCCUGUCUUCCUUUCCGCUGUCCUUUCUACCUUCCUGCCCCUUAUUUAUUGACUUCCUGCUAUAUGCGGGGCACUAAGAGUUUGUUAAUUACCUGGGGGUUAGGCUGAGCUCUUAGAUUUGAAGAUGAGGGAAACAGUGUUGAAAGCACCUAAAGGAGAAGAAAAUUUAUGGGGUGUGUGUUGCAUAAAUGCCCUUCGCUAAUCAGAAAGAUCGUGAAACGAUUUGGACUUGAAUAAGUCAACGAAGGGGGCAGAGGGGCAAACGGCAAAGCUCGGAGACAGUAGGUGCAGAAAGAGUGAUAGCGCAAAAAUAAAUCCGCAGAGCAUAUCAAAUGAAUUUGUGCAGUGCUCCUCCUGUUCAUCCCGACCUGGGCCGGCGGCAAGGGGAACAGAGAGAAAAGUGGAAAAGAUGCUCUGGGGAGGCGUCUCGCUUCGGAGCUGCUGACCGAUACACUACGCGUGGAUUCCCCGGGGAUUUCCAGGCGGGUGGCUGUGGAACAGGCAGAGGUUUAGUGGUUUCCCAGGAAGGAAUAAAUUUCCUGCAGUGAAUCACCCUGUGUCAAGGAGGAUUUUUGUGACAUCAGCUCCAAGCAGAUCAUCGAGGCUUUCCCACUCAAGAGGGCAUUGGAGCAUAACACCACCAUGGCCCACACUUUAUUUUUUCUUUCUUGUAUUUUCCAAAGGGCCAUUUGGACCAAAAGUGGCCUGUGGCCCCUGGAAACUCUGAGUAACGGCUUGGCAUCUUAAGAAUCUGUGUGUCGUGCUUUGUGGAAGAGUCUGGAAAGGUCUAGUUCUGUCUGGAAAACAAAACUCACGGUUGUUAACGUGAAAGUGUAACCCUGCUUCUUCCUUUUCUUCUAGUAAAUGCUGCAAACUUGAAAUAAAAUGAA